rnacentral:rRNA from 1 species
UGGGGAAUAUUGCACAAUGGGGGAAACCCUGAUGCAGCGACGCCGCGUGAGCGAAGAAGUAUUUCGGUAUGUAAAGCUCUAUCAGCAGGGAAGAAAAUGACGGUACCUGAGUAAGAAGCUCCGGCUAAAUACGUGCCAGCAGCCGCGGUAAUACGUAUGGAGCAAGCGUUAUCCGGAUUUACUGGGUGUAAAGGGAGCGCAGGCGGCCAGGCAAGUCUGAUGUGAAAUACCGGGGCUCAACCCCGGAACUGCAUUGGAAACUGUCAGGCUGGAGUGUCGGAGAGGCAGGCGGAAUUCCUGGUGUAGCGGUGAAAUGCGUAGAUAUCAGGAGGAACACCAGUGGCGAAGGCGGCCUGCUGGACGAUGACUGACGCUGAGGCUCGAAAGCGUGGGGAGCAAA